rnacentral:rRNA from 1 species
AGUGAACGCUGGCGGCGUGCUUAACACAUGCAAGUCGAACGAGAACGGAUUAUAGCUUGCUAUAAUUGUCAGCUAAGUGGCGCACGGGUGAGUAAUGUAUAGGUAAUAUGCCUCUUACUAAGGGAUAACAAAUGGAAACGUUUGCUAAUACCUUAUACUCCUUAUUAACAGAAGUUAAUAAGGGAAAGAUUUAUUGGUAAGAGAUUAGCCUGUAUUGUAUCAGUUAGUUGGUGGGGUAAUGGCUUACCAAGACUAUGACACAUAACUGGUUUGAGAGGAUGAUCAGUCACACUGGGACUGAGACACGGUCCAGACUCCUACGGGAGGCAGCAGUGGGGAAUAUUGCACAAUGGACGAAAGUCUGAUGCAGCAACGCCGCGUGGAGGAUGACACAUUUCGGUGCGUAAACUCCUUUUAUAUGAGAAGAUAAUGACGGUAUUAUAUGAAUAAGCACCGGCUAACUCUGUGCCAGCCGCCGCAGUAACAC